UCAACCCAUUUAACCUUCUAACCCAUCAAAUUAAAUGAGUUGAUGGGUUGACUCAACUCAUUUAGUAAAAUGAGUUGAGUCAACUCAUGAACUCAUUUAACUCUAAACUCAUUGGGUAAUGAGU